CUCCGUGGAUAGGACUGGUCUGUGUAACUAAGAGAAUGUUGCUGAAAUGAGGGAGUGUGACUUCAGAGUCCAGGUCAUAAAGGACAUUGUAGCCUCACCUUGUACAUCUUAGCUCUCUCACUGUAGCCAAAGCCAGCCGCCAUGGCAGCAGAAUACUCCAACAGCCCUGUGGAGAACUGAGGCCUCCCUCCAACAGUCAGCACCAACAUGGCAGCCAUGUGAGUGAACUUCAUGGAAGGGGCUCCUCCAGCCCCAGUCAAGCCUUCAGAUGACAGCAGGCUGGGCUGGUCACCUGACUGCAGUGUCAUGAGAGACCGGGAGCCAGAAUCACCCAGCUUAGCUCCUCCGGAAUCCCUGAGCUACAGAGACCAUGUAGAACCUUUGUUCUUUUAAGUUUGAGGACUGUUUCCUGAGUACCCUUCAGCUGAAGAGGAACUCCUCUUAGAAACUCAGCCUCGACCAUCACAGUUCAUCUUGAGGCUGUAUGAAUGCCCUUGACUUCCAGAAAAGAAAAGCACAGAGGGAGCUUGGGGAAGAUCUUCUGUAUUUGUGGUGGCUCUUAUCCAAGAAGGCCCCCCCCCCUCCCACACUGAACACAGCUGACCUGCAUAAUCCCUGGGAUGUUGUGGAAAUGACAGCAUGACUUGAGACACUAGAUUAAGUAAGACCUUGUGGCUUCUGCCUUGUUUUUUUUUUUGGGUCACUCUCCCUGGAAGAAACCAGCCACCGUGUUGUGAGGUGGUACCCUGUGGGGAGGCCCGAAUGCCACCAGCAGCCAACACUUGGCUUGCCAGCCAUGCGAGCGAGCAGAUCUUCCAGUCCGGGUCAAGCCUUCAGAUGAUGACAGCACCAAAAACCAUCUUGACUGAACCUUGUUAGUGAGCCCCUGGCUAAGCCGCGCUCCCAUUCCUGACCCACAGAAAUUGUGUGAGAUGAUAAAUGUUUACUGUUUUAUGCUGCCAAGACUCUGGGGGAAUUUGUUAUGCAGCCAUGGGUGACCGUUACAGUAUCUGAAUCCACACGUGCCGGAGCAGAGCGGGGCACUCCAGCACAAAGAGAGGUACUAUGGUGAUGUCAUAACUAAUCACGGAUUGUCACAGAGCUCUGUAAAUAGAGGAUAAUUUGACCCCAAACAAGGUGGGAUGUUAGUAAGGAAAUGGAGUGGGAGUUUCUUUGACGUGGUUCUGACUCACCCAGUGAUUCCUCACUCCCGUUUCCUUUUCCUGCCAUCUCUGCUUGUGUAAGCACAUCUCGGACUGUAUUUACAAAUCAAAAUCAGAAAGCCUCAGAUCUCUCUCACCCUGAGAACUUAUCAUCUAAAAUCACAACCAGGAGGCCUAAAUAAAGAGAAAAGAAGGAACAAAAGGAAGAAAAAGGAACGUUUUGGUCUCCCACUGCCCUUUCUCUUUCUAUUAAAAUACUUGUCCAUCACGGUUA